rnacentral:rRNA from 1 species
AGUGAUGCCUGUGGAACGAGCGACGGACGGGUGAGUAACACGUGGGCAACCUGCCUGUAAGACUGGGAUAACCCCGGGAAACCGGGGCUAAUAGCGGAUAACACUUUUUGGUACAUGCCUUGAACUUGAAAGGCGGCCUUUUUGGCUGUCACUUACAGAUGGGCCCGCGGCGCAUUAACUAGUUGGUACGGUAACGGCCUACCAAGGCAACGAUGCGUAUCCGACCUGAGAGGGUGAUCGGCCACACUGGGACUGAAACACGGCCCAGACUCCUACGGGAGGCAGCAGUAGGGAAUCUUCCGCAAUGGACGAAAGUCUGACGGAGCAACGCCGCGUGAGUGAUGAAGGUUUUCGGAUCGUAAAACUCUGUUGUUAGGGAAGAACAAGUGCCGUUCAAAUAGGGCGGCACCUUGACGGUACCUAACCAGAAAGCCCCGGCUAACUACGUGCCAGCAGCCGCGGUAAUACGUAGGGGGCAAGCGUUGUCCGGAAUUAUUGGGCGUAAAGCGCGCGCAGGCGGUCCUUUAAGUCUGAUGU